UGCCACGGCGCUCACUGCCAGCGGUAGGGAGAGGCACUCCUUCCCCAACCCUCGCCGUUCGCCUUUCUUCUAAAGGGAGAUUCAGACAGAAAGUCCCCGAUGAACUCCCACACCUCUCUCCCCCACCCUCUGCAAUCUCCUCGCGUCACUUAUGCGGGAAGUAAAGGCAGCGGCACGCACGCGAGGUCCGGCCGCGAUAUGGGAAAGCGAAGGGCUCUGUCGCUCGGAGUCAGUUUUUUUGGGGUCGUGACUACGAGGCGGCUCUCCGAAUCGGGUCCGAAGGGAGGGUGGAGGGAAAGCAGGGACGGUCACUUCGCUGAGGCUUUCCCACGGCCACUCCGCCAUCUCUUUAACACCAGGAUAACGAAACACCCGUGGAGAGAAGUACCAUCCCCUUCAGAUCUGCCCUGCAGCAGCUCUUCCUGCUGCCAACUUGCAGUAAAAUUUAUUGCCCUGUUUCAUCAGAUGACAAGAAACAAUGCCAGCAAUUUCUCCAGUGCUAUCUAUAUGUGAUCAAACAGCAUCAAACUUAUCCACACACUGAACAAAGAGGGAAAGUCACUUCUGGGGUGACAGUCAUCUCAUCCUGAAGCAAAUGUAUAAACUAGGUCAGAUAAAACUUUACUUGCAAUAAAAGGAUCUGGAAGGAGACUGGCUGAGGCAUCAAUUUCGACACUGAAGAGGUCUACGUAUGGACUGGAAAGAAGUGUACAAGCAGCCACUCCUGAAACACAUCAGAAACUCUGCUUUCAGCUUCUCUUCUGGCAAUGCUGGAACUUCCAGAAGAGUCAUUGAUGCCUGCCUAAUUCUGCUGAAGCAAUCAGGAGAAGAUUCAGAUUGGAUUUACUACCAGCAGUGGAAGGGGAGAACUAGAAACAGAAGGGAGAUAUGGAUUUCCAUUCCUACUUCCAUCCACUGUAUGCUGUGGUGAGCACCAGUGCAGUUACUAAAACCCAAUGGUGACAUCGAUGGCUGAAUGUUGUUCAUGGAAGUGGCUUCAUGAUCUAGACUCACAGAGUGCUUGGUCUUCUCAUCUGCUUCCUGAGAUUUGUCUUUUGGGAUUGUUCUUUACUUCCCACGUUCAAAAGUGAACUGGGCAGCCACAUGCAUUUCUUUUACUGAACCCAGAGUAGAGAUAAGCUGUUAUUAAUUUAUUAUGGGUUUCUUCAUGAAAUGAAUACAUUUCUUUCAGCUAUUUCUUUCACUAGUUUAGAACUAAUAUAUUGCCAACACUAUUUUCCUGUAGAAAAAAGGACUGGAAGAAAUGGUACAAAAUCCAUAGCAGAGAUAGAUCCAGGAGCCAACUGCCUUCAUUUGUUUAGAUUCACUGUAGAACUCAGUGUAAUUAAAUCUGCUCCCGGUUCAGUAAGAUUGAUGGAGGAAAGAAACCUAGGAAACUUCAGGGAGGGAGAAGAGAGGUUGCAAAAAUCACCAGAUGGCGCUGGUAGAUACGGCGUGCCAGAACAACACAGGCUGUGAGCACUUCUCUGCCUCUGGACCAAGGCAACUUUAUGGCUGGAUUGCAUUGCAUGAUCUGAACAUAUGGUGCUAUGCAUUGGUGGUUUUCAUUUGGUGGUCUCCCCAAACAUAUUGCACAUAUUAUGUGUUGUACAUUUUCAGAAUUAAGAAAUAAAGUAAAAUUCAGAAAUAGAGAAUGCACACAGUUACACAUACUCCUUGGGUCCAAAAGCAAUUUAGAAAUAUAGAGUGCUGUGGUUUAACCCCGACAGGCAACUAAGCAACACACAGCUUCUUGUUUACUCCUCCCAGGUGGGAUGGGGGAGACAACUGGAAAAGAAAAACAGUGAGGACUCAUGUGUUUGAGACAAAGACAUUUUACCAGGUAAAGUAAAGGCUGUAUGCAACAAGCAAAGCAAAGAAUUCAUUCAGUACUUCCCAUCAGCAGGCUGCUGUUCAUCCAGUUCCAAGAAAGCAGGGCUCAUCACAGCAUCACAGAAUCAUAGAAUGGCUUGACUUGAAAGGGACCACGAUGAUCAUCUAGUUUCAACCCCCCUGCUAUGUGCAGGGUCGCCAACCACGCACGCUUCAUGGUUUACUGGGAAGAAAAAUGCCAUGCUAUCACUCCGUAUAUCCUCCCUUUCUCCUUCUUUACCUCAUCUUUUAUUGUUGAUCAUGAAUCCAUACAGUAUGGAAUAUCCCUCUAGCUAGUUUAGAUCAGCUGUCCUGGUUCUGCCCCCUCCCAGCUCCUUGUACUGCCCCAGCCCCUCGCUGUCAGGGCAGCAAAAGAAACUGAAACCUCCUUGGGUCUGUGUAGUACUGCUCAACAACUAAAACACUGGUGUACUAUCACCACUGUUUUCAUCAAAAGUACAAAACACAUAAUACAAAUUAACUCUAUCCCAGACAAACCACGUAACAGGACUAUCACUAGGGUUAGGAUGGCUCUUUUUCUUCCUCUGUAUAAAUACAUGAGGACAUUCUUCAUGUUUGGUUUUAAAUAAAAUUGUAGGGGUUUUGUUUAGAAACAUCAUAAUUUUGGAAAAUGUCAUACAGAAAUUUGAGAGAUCCUCUUUUCCUUCUGUUUGAGAAAACUGAAAACAUUUAUUCAUUUUUGACUCUUGGUAGCAGAUCUUUAUUUAUUCUUUUUUUUUUUAAUUUUAAAUAUGGUUUGCUAUAGCAAUUACCUUAUAGCAGAAUUCUUCCAGAACAUUAAAAUGAACAUAUGCCCCUUCUUUUUUUCCCCAUUCCUUAACAGUCUGUUCUUUUCUAAUCACAACUGGUUGGGGAAUCUGACUUCUUUUUCCAAAUCAGUGCACUGAGAAAAGUUCUACCCCUUAUAUUGUUACAGUCUCUGAUUCUUAUGUGACCCAACUUGAUCCAAUUUAGUUUGUAGAAUUUGAGAGGAUCACAGCUCAAAGGGCAGUGCUAAGUGGACUGUCUAAUUUUAACUCUUUGAUGACUUCAGAGAUGUUGCUUUGUAGGCCAAUACACACAUACCCAUCUGAGGUAGCAUCAGUAAGGUGCAGAACAACGUGGCUCUGCUCCAGCAAAGCACUUAACCAGUCGUUCAGCGUGGAGCCCCAGGGCUGAAGUGAAGAGGGAGGUACUGUGACAUGACUUGCACUAUGAACUGCAUUUAGAUUUAUGGCUAGUGUUGAUCUGAAAAUCAGGAUAGUUAAUCCAAACAUAGUGUUUAUUUUGCACUGAAAAGAGUUAUUCACAAAGGUUAACCUAACCUAAUAGAGUCACUCCCAGAGGCUCUCUGGGUAAGCCCAUCUUGCUACGCUCAUUGUAGAGGAUGUUUAGAGAGAUUAAUCUUGUGACGAUAAAGUGAGCCUUUGUGAAAACCCUUCCAAAUGUCAUGCACAUAAUAUUUUUCUGACCUACUACAUCUCUUGGACUCUGCAUAAUAUUUCUAAAAUGCUCUAAACCAUUCCAACAUUUUGGAAAGUGUUACCUCUCUGCUUAAUCCUCAGGUGGAUGGUGUAAUAUCUGAAACUGUGUUUAGAGCUGAAGCUUGCUUUCAAUGCUGGUGUUAACCACAGCUUUAUGCUUGAAAGUUUUCAAUUGUUCCCCUGGUUUAUUGACUGAAGUGUACCACUGACACAUCUGUGGAUCAUAUGAUGUUGAUUCUUUCAGUGACAGCUUCUGCAAAAGUGAUACACUUUUCCAAGUUGUUAAAGUAGCUUUAUGGUUUUCAACUCCCCUGCUUCACCUCAGUCAAAUGCAGGAACAAAGUUUGUGUUGAACAAGUGAAUACUAAGAUAUUAAUAUGGACAGUGAGUGUACAACAAAUGUACAAUCUGGAUGAUAUUAUAGGUUAAAAAUGAUGAUACGUGACCCUAGGAUAUUUUGUAAUAUAAAUCCAUGCAAGACUAUGUAGGAGACGGUCCUUUCAAACUGUCUUUGUGUUCUUGAUUUUAGAGCUUUUUAAGGCCUUCAAAAUGUGCCUAAUCUUGUUUUGUGUGUAGAACUAAACAGAGGGUUAAUCUUUUUGGGUCACUAGCAGUCAUAAUCCUAUGACAUGAAGAACAGAAAAGGAGAAGGGAACAUCUAAAAUCUCAGCAGAUAGGGCUGAAGAUGAUUGACAGCAACUUUCUUGGCCCUGGAGAGUGGCCAGAGAAGGGUAACAAAGCUGGUGAGGGGUCUAGAGCACAGGUCUUAUGAGGAGUGGCUGAGGGAAUGGGAUUGUUUAGUUUGAUGAAGAGGAUGCUCAGGGGAGACCUUAUCGGUUUCUACAACUACCUGAAGGGAGGUUAUAGUGAGGUAAGGGUUGGCCUCUUUUCUUCUGUAACUAGUGAUAGGACGAGAUGGAAUGGCCUCAAGUUGCACCAAGGGAGGUUCAGUUUGGAUGUUAUGAAAAACUUAUUCUCUGAAAAAGUGCUCAGGCUCUUCAGUGGGCUGCCCAGGGAGGUGGUUGAGCUGCCAACCCUGGAGAUGUUCAAGAAAAGUUAAGAUGUUUUACUAAAGGACAUGGUUUAGUGGGGCAAUGUUAGUGGUAGGUGAACAGUUGGACUAGAUGAUCUCAGAGGUCUUUUCCAACCUUGGUGAUUCUAUGAUUAUAUCAGACAUGACACAUGAAUGUGCUGUGGUAAAUAAAGGAUAUCAAAGAAAGAAGACAAAGCCUAGCAGGUUAUAAGCACCUCCCUGUCCUAUGCAUGGAUUCUGAUUACUUGUGACUGGAUCUGUUCAAGACAGUUUUCCAGUGCUUUGUCUGCACAGUUCAUUCUGCAUAAAAGGUGUAAUUAUUUCUGUCAGCAGAUAACUCUGCAUUGAGCAUUGCUACAAAUAAAUUAUUUAUUUAACAAACACAGCCCUUUAAAGAAUGAGGAUUAUGCAGUGUUCUUUGUCCUACCUGAUUUACUCUCAUGUAAGUUCAGACAGCAACUUUAAAUUCAUCUCCAUCUGCCUGAACCACACUUAAAGCAAAGAGAAAAAUAUAUGUGAUCAAAGUAAUGACUUUCUCCUUCUGUGUGAAAUAGUAAACUAUUUCCUUUCAUAUGCUGAAACAGGAAAAAUACAUCUUACACUUACUUUGUCUUGAUCUUAGAAUAAAUUCACAAUUUUUAAAAAGUCAAUUGAUACGCAAACACAGAAACCAAUGUACCACUAACAGUAAACUGAUUUCUUUUUUCUAUGUAUUUUCUCUUCAAUGCAUUACAAAAGCAUCUGAUUUUUUAUCAUGCUUAGUUCAUUAAUGAUUCUGUGGAAGCAGGGCCUUGGGAAGCAUCUGUGCCAUUUGGAUUGCACAGUUGUGGAAGUUACUUGCUACCCAGAAGGAAAGUUUCAAUUGACCAUCAUAGAAAGGGAACUAUUUCCCAGGAGGAAAGAGUCCAUUCAUAUAAAGUUCAUGUCCUCCAGUAUAUCUGCUGGUCACACACACAGAAGAUAAAAAAUAAAAUAUAAAAUAAAAUAAAUGUAAAAUAAAAAUAAUAAAUGUACAUAUAUCCUGGAAAGAAAGAUCCUUGCAAUACCUAUUGUAGAUGAGCAAUUUGCACAAUGGUGGUGAAAAUGAAUGGAGUAGGAUGUGAUCCGUUCUCCAGCUCAUUCACAUCUGUCAUCAUCUUCCAAAGUACAGCAUCAGUCUAAAGUAGGAGUCCUGUUUUGAUUCAUAAUCAAGACCUACAUUUUAGUUUUAGGCAUGUGAAUGAUAGAGAAGUUUUGUUACUGUUUGGAAAGAGUCAAAACUGAAAAAAAGCAUGUGAAAACAUAUUCUGAGACUGUAAAGGAUUUGAGUUGGAGUAUCUCCUGAAGGAUGCUAGCGCCAACAGGAAUUAAACAUCCAGACCCACUUUCCAGCAGCAACCUUCCUCUCCCACACAUGCAGCAAAUGUGUUCACUCCCUAUCCCUUUGCACACUGGGCUGACCUUCCCCUGAAAUAAGUCAGUUCAGCAUGAGACCAAAAUAUGGGCCUUUUGGGUCUUCCUUUGUCCAAAAAGUGUGUAAUUUUUAGGCCCAGUAGGACUGACCUUCUUUGUCUUGAAAUAAGUAUCAAGACUCUCAUUGACUUCUGUGGAAAGUGGAUUGGGCAUUGAGCUUGCCUCUGGAAAAAACAAAUAAAAUAUAAUAGAUAACAGAAGAGGUAAGUAGUAUGGCCUCAAGCUGUGCUCGGGGAUGUUCAGGUUAGAUAAUAUGAAGAUUUUUUUCUCAAAAAGUGUGGUAAGGUGUUGGUACUGUCUGCCCAGGGAGGUAGCAGAAUCACUGUCCAUGCAAGUAUUUAAGGAAAGGGCAGAUGUAGUACUUAGGGAUGUGGUUUAGUGGGCAAUAUUGGUGGUAGGUGGAUGGUUGGACUAGAUGAUCUUAGAGGUCUUUUCCAACCUUCAUGAUUCUAUGAUUCUAUGAUUCUAUCUAUUUAGAUCCCAGGAAGUCCAUAAUUAUAGGCAUUACUCAGGCAAAUUCAAUAUUUAGACUAUUUUAAAUGUAUGUUUCUUGGAACACACAUAGUGAUAUUUUGUAUUUUCUUUAUAAGUAAGUGCAAGUUGUUGAUGUGGAAGCAACAUAAUGAAGUGAAUAUCAGUUCCUAUAUCAGGAUAAUGACGAAGGAUAUGGAAGGGCUGAGACUAAGCACUUUGCACCAAGUCCUUAAUUUUAGAGAGGAUCCUGGCAUAGUAUAAUGUGAUAUUCAGCUUUCAUUCUGGUUCUCUUGGAAUUUCCAUUGGAUCACGAACAUCUUGGGAAACAUUUUGCUGUGCAUUUUUUUGUGGAAGGCAAAAUACUGCAAGUGUUUUGAAUGCUUAGGAAGUAAUGGUAUGAAUUUUCUAACUUCUGUAGCACUGCAUCAAUCCUAAAGUGCUUGAGAUUAAUUUCAGAGACUUAGUUUCUGCUUUCUGCUUUCAGCUCUGUUCAUGGACAAAUACAGAUUUAGGUUAAUCCUUCCAUGCUACUCCCUUAAAAAUGACAUAGGAAUCUUCAACUCCUCUUGUAAAAGAGAAACAAAAAAGUCUAUAAAGUUCUAUAUAACACCUGAAGAAGUUCUUAAGGAAGAAAUACUCAAGCGUAGAACUAGCUAUACUGGGUUCCAACCUUUUGACCUUCCUGAGCUAUACUGAGUGAAGCGUCUCAGGCCACAUACAAAAUAUGUAAUAUAGUUUAUAUAUAUAUACAGCCAAACUUUUUUUUUUUUAAUAUUUUUUUACUAAAAUAUAAAAAGAGAGCAAAAAUACAUAAAACUAGAGGGAUAUUUGACCUUGUUUCUUUGAAACUCAUGGCAAUUUCUGGUUUGAAAUGCAAAGAAGUGGGUGCAAUUCUUAGUGAGUUCUCAAGGUGUUCAUCAGAGCUUUUUAGGAAAUAUACUUCUUCUAUACUUUGUCCUUGAAAAGAGUUGUUCACAACUGUAUGUACUGCCAAAAAGUGAUGGUGUGAAUGAGGCUAAUUAUGAAGCGAAGGAUACCUUUCCCUGGUAAAAAAAGGACUUAUAAAAGUUUAGUAAAGAUAAAUGAUCUGGUUUCUGAGUUGAAUAUCUGAUUGAAACUCUACAUUCUACUUGAAAAUUCGUAAGUCAUGAAUUUAUGUCAACUUAAAAUGGAGUUGCAAAUAUACAAAAAAACUGAUGACCUUUCAGCACUCUUGAAACCUAUUGUCAAAUUCCUUUAUUAAAACAGAAAACAUGGCUGCAUAUUUUUUUCUCUGCUCACAGGUUUGUGUUCAGUCAAAAUUAUUGGCCAUCACUUGAGUUAGCACUGCACAUCACAGUCC
ensembl:lncRNA